rnacentral:rRNA from 1 species
GGUUAAAAAGCUCGUAGUUGGAUUUCUGUUGAAGUCAGCCGGUGCACACUUCGUGUGUUAUUUGGCCUGGCUUUGGCAUCCUCUGGGGGAACGUUUCUGGCCUUAAUUGGACAGGGCGAGAUUCCAGACUUUUACUUUGAGGAAAUUAGAGUGUUCACAGCAGGCAAGUGCUUUGAAUACAUUAGCAUGGAAUAAUAAUAUAGGACCUUCGUUCUAUUUUGUUGGUUUCUAGGACUUAGGUAAUGAUUAAUAGGGACAAUUGGGGGCAUUCGUAUUAACACGUCAGAGGUGGAAUUCUUGGAUUGUGUUACGACGAACUACUGCGAAAGCAUUUGCCAAGGAUGUUUUCAUUGAUCAAGAACGAAAGUUAGGGGAUCGAAGACGCUUAGAUACCGUCGUAGUCUUAACCAUAAACUAUGCCGACUAGAGAUUGGAGGUCGUUUUUUUUAUGACUCCUUCAGCACCUUAUGAGAAAUCAAAGUCUUUGGGUUCCGGGGGGAGUAUGGUCGCAAGGCUGAAACUUAAAGGAAUUGACGGA